GAAAUGCGAUAAGUAAUGUGAAUUGCAGAAUUCAGUGAAUCAUCGAAUCUUUGAACGCACAUUGCGCCCGCCAGUAUUCUGGCGGGCAUGCCUGUCCGAGCGUCAUUUCAACCAUCAAGCCCCCGGGCUUGUGUUGGGGACCUGCGGCUGCCCGCAGGCCCUGAAAACCAGUGGCGGGCUCGCUGUCACACCGAGCGUAGUAGCAAUCACCUCGCUCAGGGCGUGCUGCGGGUUCCGGCCGUUAAACAGCCUUACAAAACCCAAGGUUGACCUCGGAUCAGGUAGGUAGACCCGCUGAACUUAAGC
rnacentral:misc_RNA from 1 species